GACGAACGCUGGCGGCGUGCUUAACACAUGCAAGUCGAACGGAAAGGCCCUGCUUUUGUGGGGUGCUCGAGUGGCGAACGGGUGAGUAACACGUGAGUAACCUGCCCUUGACUUUGGGAUAACUUCAGGAAACUGGGGCUAAUACCGGAUAGGAUCUCCUGCUGCAUGGUGGGGGUUGGAAAGUUUCGGCGGUUGGGGAUGGACUCGCGGCUUAUCAGCUUGUUGGUGGGGUAGUGGCUUACCAAGGCUUUGACGGGUAGCCGGCCUGAGAGGGUGACCGGCCACAUUGGGACUGAGAUGCGGCCCAGACGCCUAAGGGAGGCAGCAGUGGGGAAUAUUGCACAAUGGGCGGAAGCCUGAUGCAGCAACGCCGCGGGCGGGAUGACGGCCUUCGGGUUGUAAACCGCUUGCGCCUGUGACGAAGCGUGAGUGACGGUAAUGGGUAAAGAAGCACCGGCUAACUACGUG
rnacentral:rRNA from 1 species